rnacentral:lncRNA from 1 species
GAUUAUUCUAUAAAGAAGAAGGCUGCACCCAAAGAUGCGGAGUGGCUGGCUAGUAAGUACAGAGUCAGGAUUCAAACCAGCUCUGUUGGCUCCAGUAUCCCCUGUGGCUACUUGGGAAAGCAGGAUUGAUGAAAAAGGGAAGAAAUUCUGUUGGUUAGAGAAACACUCACUGCUGUAGCAAACUCUGAAAUUUGUAAUUGCUCCAAUAAUAGACGUGUAUUUCUCAUGUAGAGUCUCAAAUGGGAUUCCUGGUGAGCAGAUGGGCCUUCUCCAAGAAGAGAUUCAGGAACCUGUGCUCCCUCCAUCCUGUGGUACCAUCAACUUCACAUGUGACUUCAAGCUGCCACACCCAUCUGCUUCGAACUGGCAGCAGGGAAGAGCCUGGGGGAAUGGGAGGUUUUGUGGAUCAGAUGUAGAGGUGGCACACGUCACUUCUAAUCACCCUUUGGCUGUAACUCAAUUACUUGGCCAGUGCUUACCAG